rnacentral:rRNA from 1 species
AGCAGCCGCGGUAAUUCCAGCUCCAAUAGCGUAUAUUAAAGUUGUUGCAGUUAAAAAGCUCGUAGUUGAAUUUCGGGGUCAGUAGGUCGGUCGUGCCACCGGUAUGCACUGGCUUCACUGAUUCCUCCCUCUUGUAGAACCGUGAUGCCAUUAAUUUGGUGUUGCGGGGAAACAGGACUGUUACUUUGAAAAAAUUAGAGUGUUUAAAGCAAGCUAACGCUUGAAUACAUUAGCAUGGAAUAAUGAAAUAGGACGUCGAUCUUAUUUUGUUGGUUUCUAGGGUUGACGUAAUGAUUAAUAGGGAUAGUUGGGGGCAUUAGUAUUCAAUUGUCAGAGGUGAAAAUUCUUGGAUUUAUUGAAGACUAACUACUGCGAAAGCAUUUGCCAAGGAUGUUUUCAUUAAUCAAGA